AUGGACGACCACGGGGGGAUCCCAGCCCCUCCCCCUCCUCUGCCUCUGCCCCCUCCCUACGCCCCUCCUGCUCCACCUCCCCUCCUUCCAUCGACACAAGGGCUGGAAGAUCUGCAAUUUGGAGAAGGUCAGGAGAUCUGGCAAGAAACAGGCACCACCAAGAAUUGUUCUAGAGCCAGCUGGAAUCACAAGAUGAAGUCAUAUCUUAUUUGGCUCUUGAAAGAACAUGAUGUGCCGACAUAUCGAACACGAAAUGCAUGGAGCAAAGAGGCUUGGAGAAGGAUUGUGGAUGCAUUCAAUACACGAUUUGGUUUAUCACUCUCAGUAACUCAGGUCAAACAAAAGGAGCAGGACCUGAAGAAAGAUUUUAAAGCUAUAAGAGACUUGAUAUCCGAAAGUGGUUUUGGCUGGGAUCGUGAUACGAUGAUGGUGGUUGCUCCGGAUAGUGUUUGGGAAGAAUUAAGGGCACGUAAAAACAAAGAUGCCCUCCGAUGGCAAGACAAAUCAUUCCCAUACUAUUAUGAUAUAUUUGCUCUAUAUGACGGGCGCUAUGCUCAAGGAAGGGGUUGCCAUGGCACGGAUAAUUAUGCGAACAAGGCCGCACAUGUAUCGAUGGAACUUCCAGAAGACCUACAUAUAAAUCAUCAACCAUCUCAUUCUACUCCUGAGCCUACUAGUGCUAAACGGGGGAAAAGACAGAAGACAAACUCUAAUCUUGAUGAUUUCCAAGAGAGGUACCUGAGCUUCAAAAGAGAAGAGCUGGAUCGGUUUGCAGCCAUUGAGGAGAGGAAAUUGGAGGAUCCCUAUAGCAUACAAAAUUGCAUUGCUGUACUUGAAGGGUUGCCGGAUUUACAAACAGAAGAUAUGCUAAAAGCAGCUGACCUCUUCACCGAUAACAAGGACAACAGAGAAGUGUUUCUCUCGUUUUCAACUAAGGAAUUACGGCUGGCCUGGUUAAAAAGAAGAAUUCAGAACACCUAG
rnacentral:rRNA from 1 species